GGGAGCGGAUAGGGUCCUGGUGGCCCUCCCGGACUUCAAAUCCGGAGCGUCCUCCACAAGGGGAUGGGUCGGUUCGAUUCCGAUGCGCUCCCG
rnacentral:tRNA from 1 species